GUGAUUUUGACCUGGAGAAGAUUAUUUUUAAAAAUAAAAGAGCCGGGCGCAGUGGCUCACGCCUGUAAUCCCAGCACUUUGGGAGGCCGAGGCGGGCAGAUCACAAGGUCAGGAGAUUGAGACCAUCCUGGCUAACACGAUACAACCUUUCAGUCAGCAUGAGUCCCAAGGGAAGAUGACUUGGAGCGGAGCCUCAGCGCAUCCACAAUGGUCGUAGGGCAUCAAUAUAUGAGGGAUAACGUGGUGAGGAAACAAGACCUGUAGAGAUUAAGGAACUUUAGACCUGAGUUUAACCAGCUUUGAGACCUGGGCCUGAGUCUGUCUAAGGCUGAGGCUCUUGCCUCAUGUUGGAAAACCAGCUACAUUGGAAAACCUCCUGCAUAUCCUCCACAGCAUUUGUGAUCUCUUCCCUGAGCUCACAGAAGCACCCAGCAAAUGCUUACAAAUGACUAACUGAAGGGCAAUGACUUGAGCACAGCUGCUGAAUAUGUGAAUGAAGAAAUGACUACAGCCAGUUCCUGACUUGCAACAGUUCCACUUACGAUUUUUUUUCCUUUACAAUGGUGCAAAAGCAGUAGGUAUUCUCUACACAUCUCAGCAUAUGGGGAUAUGUCUGAUAUCCCCAUCCUAAAUUGAAAAUACCAUAAGUCAAAGGUUCAAUAUUUUCGCCGGCCACACUGGCUCACGCCUGUAACCCCAGCACUUCGGGAGGCUGAGGCAGGUCACUUGAGCUUAGGAGUUUAAGACCAGUUUGGACAACAUAGUGAAACCCUGUCUCUACAAAAAAAGAUAAAACUUAGCCAGGUAUGGUGGUGCAUGCCUAUAGUGCCAGCUAUUCAGGAGGCUGAGGUGGGAGUAUCACUUGAGCCUGGGAGGUGGAGGCUGCAGUGAGCCAAGAUCAUGCCACUGCACUCCAGCCUGGGCAACAGAGCCAGACCCUGUCUCAGAAAACAACAAAACAAAAGGUACAAUAUUUUCAACUUAGGAUGAGCUUAUCCAGACAUAACCUCAUCGUAAGUAGAGGAGUGUCUGUAUUUGUUGAAAACUGCAUUAGGUAAAACUGUCUAGAAUCUCUCAUGUAAUACAAAAAAGAUACAGACCAUAUCUUCAAAAACUAGAUAAUAAAGAGGUGAAAUGGACCAAAUAUAAUAUUUAGAAGUGGUGUUGGAAGAAGGCCACACAUUGGCCAGAGGACUAGACCAGGAAUCCAGGGUCUGCAUUCUAGUUCCUCCUACAGCUGUGUGCUGUUGGUAAUCAUUUUAACCUCUCUGAGCCUGUUCCAUCACACAAAAAGAUACUAAUAAAACCAGUUCUAGGUGUCGAAUGAAAUAAUAUAUGUGCUAUGUUAUGAAUGUGUUUCCCAAAAUUCAUACGUGGGAAACUUAAUCCCCAAUGCAGCAGUGUUGGGAGGUGGAGCCUCUGAAGAGAUCUUCAGGUCACAAGGGCUCUGCCCUCAUGAAUGAAUUAGUUCCCUUUCAAAAUGGGCUUUCAGUAGUGGGUUCAUUCCUUCCUGCUCUUCUGCUAUGUGAGGACACAGGUCCCUCUCCUCCAGAGGACACAGCAAGUGCCAUCUUGGCAGCAGAGAGCAGCCCUUGCCAGAUGCUGGAGCCUUGAUCUUGGACUUCCCAGCCUCCAGAACUGAGAAAUAAAUGUCUCUUCUUUAUAAAUUACUGAGUCUCAGGCAUUCUGUUAUAGCCGCA
rnacentral:lncRNA from 10 species